rnacentral:rRNA from 1 species
UACAGAGGGUGCGAGCGUUAAUCGGAAUUACUGGGCGUAAAGCGCGCGUAGGCGGCUUUGCAAGUCGGGUGUGAAAUCCCCAGGCUUAACCUGGGAACUGCAUUCGAGACUGCAUUGCUAGAGUAUGGGAGAGGUGAGUGGAAUUCCCAGUGUAGCGGUGAAAUGCGUAGAUAUUGGGAGGAACACCAGUGGCGAAGGCGGCUCACUGGACCGGAACUGACGCUGAGGCGCGAAAGCGUGGGGAGCAAACAGG